UCCUACGGGGGGCAGCAGUGGGGAAUAUUGCGCAAUGGGCGAAAGCCUGACGCAGCGACGCCGCGUGAGGGAUGAAGGUCUUCGGAUCGUAAACCUCUGUCAGCAGGGAAGAAAGGUCACUGUGCUAAUCAGCAGUGAAUUGACGGUACCUGCAAAGGAAGCACCGGCUAACUCCGUGCCAGCAGCCGCGGUAAUACGGAGGGUGCGCGCGUUAAUCGGAAUUACUGGGCGUAAAGCGCUCGUAGGCGGUAUUUCACGUCAAGGGUGAAAUCCCCGCGCUCAACCUGGGACCUGCCUUUGAAACU
rnacentral:rRNA from 1 species